CCAGAGGAGGAUCAUCUGGGCUGCUGACUUUACAAAGAGUGAGAGCAUGUUCAACUCUGUGGUCGUCCUAAAGCAGAACUCCUGUGAGGAACCGGGACAUCCAGGAUGGUGAGGAGCUUCCCAGUCCCCACCUGAGGACGGCACAGAGAAAGACUGGAACAGAAAACACACGGAGGAAAGCAGGUUGAACAUGGAAGCAGUUUACUAUCAGCCGGAUCACAUUGGAACAGAGUCCAUCCACACGUGUUUGGAGGAGCUGAAGAAGAGGACGGAGCACAGAGGCCGCUAAGGAGGAGAAACAUGGCUCCUCUAUUUCUCUCCAACAUGCUGGAGUCCAGGACUGAAAAACGUUGACGACCCCGCAGCUAAACCAUCAGUCUGCUCCACCCAGUAAGA